rnacentral:sRNA from 1 species
GGUAUUUUAAUUAUGGUGCUUUAAACUGUUCUUGUACAUCAGAUGAAACAUGAUCAUAUUGUGUUUUAUAUAUAAUCCAUGUGUACACAUUGUAUGAUACAAAGUUUUAUAUGUUCACAUUCCAAUGUGGUAUCAUGUCCUUGUAUAUCAAAAGAUUUUCAUAUAUUUUUAUAGUCUGAGAGGAGGAUGUUUAUUGAUUAUGGGCGUGUUGUAGGUGAAUGCGUAGAAUUUCAUGUAUGACAGACUUAAGUGUAGAAGGGAGAGAACUCUUGGCAUUUGUUACAUUGUCACAAUACUCCAUUUUCAUUAUCAGCUGGCCACUUGGUUUCAUACAAAGGCAGGCUAAAUAAACCAUAAAAACCUUG